AACUUUCGGCAAUGGAUCACUUGGCUCUCGCAUCGACGAAGAACGCAGCGAAAUGCGAUACAUAAUGUGAAUUGCAGAAUUCAGUGAAUCAUCGAAUCUUUGAACGCAUAUUGCGCUCUUUGGUAGUCCGAAGAGCAUGCUUGUUUGAGUAUCAGUAAACACCUCAAAGACUUCACUUUGUUUUGAAUGGCUUUGGACUUGAGCAAUCCCAACACUAGUCUUUACGAUCGGUGGAGGGUUGCUUGAAAUGCAGGUGCAGCUGGACAUCCUCCUGACCUAAAAGCAUAUUUAUUUAGUCCCGUCAAACGGAUUAUUACUUUUGCUGCAGCUAACAUAAAGGGAGUUUGACCGUAUUGGCUGACUGAUGCAGGAUUUCACAAGGGUCGGCAAUGAUUCUUGUAAAACUCGAUCUCAAAUCAGGUAGGACUACCCGCUGAACUUAAGCAUAUCAAUAAGCGGAGGCU
rnacentral:misc_RNA from 1 species